rnacentral:rRNA from 1 species
GACGAACGCUGGCGGCGUGCUUAACACAUGCAAGUCGAGGGGGUUCGUGGGCAACCUGCGGAUCACCGGCGAACGGGUGCGUAACACGUGAGCGACCUGCCGUACCUGUGGGGGAUAGCCGGCCCAACGGCCGGGUAAUACCGCAUACGCUCGUUUUGGGGCAUCCCGAGGCGAGGAAAGCGUGGGGGCAACCCCACCGCGCAGGACGAGGGGCGUCGCGGCCGUAUCAGCUGGUUGGCGGGGUAACGGCCCACCAAGGCGGACGACGGGUAGCUGGUCUGAGAGGAUGGCCAGCCACAUUGGGGCUGAGAGACGGCCCAGACUCCUACCGGGAGGCAGCAGUGGGGAAUCUUGCGCAAUGGCCGAAAGGCUGACGCAGCGACGCCGCGUGGAGGAUGACGGCCU